GUCUUCCACCGCACAAUGUAAAUAUGCACACACACGCAUAUAUAUUCCCUUCUUCCUUGUCUGUACCUCAGAGGCCCCCUUCCAAUCCAUUGUUGUUCCACUGUCAAUAUUCCAAAAGCCCUAAUUGAGAACCACCACCAAUAAAAAAGAAAACAACCCAGUUGGGCAAACACGACACUUGCCUCUGGAUCCAAACCCCACCCCUUGUUCCCAUCGAAAACAAGACUAUCACUCAUCAUCAGAAAGAAGAUAGACACAUAUACAUCCAGAGAGAGAGAGAGAGAGAGAGAGAGAGAGGAUGCUGAAGCUGCCAUCGUCAAGCACCUCCGAUUCCUCGGCGCUUCUUCUUUGAGGCUCAAGAUCUCAAUUUGCAGACCAAACGCGGCCGUUUCAUGCGAGACAUAUCGUCGGCUCCAAUUGUAGCCGAGCGCAGGGGAAGGACGCUGCCGGUGGCGGCCUUGGCUGACCGGCUUCGGCAAGGGACCUUGACGGAUGACGGGCUUUCUUCUAAUCUCUUGCAGGAAGGCGGUCCAUACGGGACGACUACGAGCACUACUCCGGGACUAUCUUCGGCUUGUAACUCUUUUCGGGUUUUGUUUUCGGGAGGCCAACAAGGUAGCGAAUGUUUUGGGAAAGAAGGUUGUGGCGAAGCAAAACACUGCUGUCGAUUAUUUUGUGGCUCCUGCCGACUGCCUUUUUGUUGUGUGAUAGUUUGGGCUGGCAGUACCCAAAACUUGUCAAUUCUGUAGACAGCUGUACAUCUUUAGUACUAUAAAUAAAGUGUGAUGUUUGAAAAAAAGAAGAAGGAAAAA